rnacentral:rRNA from 1 species
GAUGAACGCUGACAGAAUGCUUAACACAUGCAAGUCGAUGGGGAAGUGGUGCUUGCACCAUGGUAACCAUGGCGGACGGGUGAGUAACGCGUAAGGAACUUGCCUGCGGGACUGGGAUAACAGCAGGAAACUGCUGAUAAUACCGGAUAAGGUCAUUAAGCUGCAUAGCUUAGUGAUGAAAGGAGACGCCUGCGGAGAGCCUUGCGUCCUAUUAGCUAGUUGGAGGGGUAACGGCCCACCAAGGCGAAGAUAGGUAGCCGGCCUGAGAGGGUGGACGGCCACAAGGGGACUGAGAUACGGCCCUUACUUCUACGGGAGGCAGCAGUGGGGAAUAUUGGACAAUGGGGGCAACCCUGAUCCAGCAAUUCUGUGUGCACGAAGACGGUUUUCGGAUUGUAAAGUGCUUUCAGCAGGGAAGAAGGAAGUGACGGUACCUGCAGAAGAAGCGACGGCUAAAUACGUG